rnacentral:rRNA from 1 species
UGCGCAGGUGGGCUUGUAAGUCAGUGGUGAAAUACUGCCGCUUAACGGUAGAACUGCCAUUGAUACUGCAAGUCUUGAGUAUGGUUGAGGUAGGCGGAAAUGUGUUGUGUAGCGGUGAAAUGCAUAGAUAUGACACAGAACUCCAAUUGCGAAGGCAGCUUACUAAGCCAUUACUGACGCUGAGGCACGAAAGCGUGGGGAGCGAACAGGAUUAGAUACCCUGGUAGUCC